rnacentral:rRNA from 1 species
UACGUAGGGUGCAAGCGUUGUCCGGAAUUAUUGGGCGUAAAGAGCUCGUAGGCGGUCUGUUGCGUCGGCUGUGAAAACCCGGGGCUCAACCCCGGGCCUGCAGCCGAUACGGGCAGACUAGAGUUCGGCAGGGGAGACUGGAAUUCCUGGUGUAGCGGUGAAAUGCGCAGAUAUCAGGAGGAACACCGGUGGCGAAGGCGGGUCUCUGGGCCGGUACUGACGCUGAGACGCGAAAGCGUGGGGAGCGAACAGG